CCUACGGGAGGCAGCAGUGGGGAAUAUUGCGCAAUGGGCGAAAGCCUGACGCAGCGACGCCGCGUGAGGGAUGAAGGUCUUCGGAUCGUAAACCUCUGUCAGCAGGGAAGAACGGUCACUGUGCUAAUCAGCAGUGCAUUGACGGUACCUGACUAAGAAGCCCCGGCUAACUACGUGCCAGCAGCCACGGUAAUACGUAGGGGGCAAGCGUUAUCCGGAUUUACUGGGUGUAAAGGGAGCGUAGACGGCUGUGCCAGUCUGAAGGUAAAGCCCAGGGUUCAACCCUGGGACUGCUUUGGCAACGGUGGAGGUAGAGUGCUGGAGAGGUAAGUGGAAUUCCGAGUGUAGCGGUGAAAUGCGUAGAUAUUAGGAGGAACACCAGUGGCGAAGGCGGCUUACUGGACAGUAACUGACGUUGAGGCUCGAAAGCGUGGGGAGCAAACAGGAUUAGAUACCCCAGUAGUC
rnacentral:rRNA from 1 species